rnacentral:rRNA from 1 species
CAAUAGCGUAUAUUAAAGUUGUUGCAGUUAAAAAACUCGUAGUUGAAUUUUUGCUUGCCGCCGAUGUCGGAACUUCCGUACGUUCGGCGGCGUGCAUCCUUGGGUGGAACCUGUGUGGCAUUAGGUUGUCGUGCAGGGGAUGCUCAUCGUUUACUGUGAAAAAAUUAGAGUGUUCAAAGCAGGCUUACGCCGUUGAAUAUAUUAGCAUGGAAUAAUAAGAUAGGACCUUGGUACUAUUUUGUUGGUUUGCGCACCGAGGUAAUGAUUAACAGGGACAGUUGGGGGUAUUCGUAUUCCAUUGUCAGAGGUGAAAUUCUUGGAUUUCUGGAAGACGAACUACUGCGAAAGCAUUUACCAAGGAUGUUUUCAUUAA